rnacentral:rRNA from 1 species
UACGUAGGUGGCAAGCGUUGUCCGGAAUUAUUGGGCGUAAAGCGCGCGCAGGCGGUCCUUUAAGUCUGAUGUGAAAGCCCACGGCUCAACCGUGGAGGGUCAUUGGAAACUGGGGGACUUGAGUGCAGAAGAGGAGAGAGGAAUUCCACGUGUAGCGGUGAAAUGCGUAGAGAUGUGGAGGAACACCAGUGGCGAAGGCGACUACCUGGCCUGUUCUUGACGCUGAGGCGCGAAAGCUAGGGGAGCAAACGGG